UUUUGGAAUGGGGUCAUUGGUUUCUUCUUUAUUGCUGGAUUGUAAUUUUACUUUCUGGAGGGCUCCUGACCAUGUUUAAGGUCUGUCAGCAGAAAGAGCGGCAACUGCACCUGGAGACUGCUUCCUUUAGAGCGUGGGGUGAACCCUUGAAACAGGGGCUGUGACCUUUCCCUUUUGGUUUUUGGGGCAUCCUGACCACAUCUAAGUGCUGACAGAUGUAUGGGCAAUGUUGAUCUCUGGAGACUGUCUCCUGUGGAGCAUGAGGCUGUUAUGCACUGCUUCCAACCGUGCAGAGUUGUUUAAGGGCAUUCUGUGCACCCUUAGGUGUAAUAAGUCUUCAUCUUUAUAGGAAGCCAAGCUCUGGUUCCCAACAGCGUGAUGAAGUGAAGCCCCUGCUCUGCUGAAUACUGGGACUGGCCCAGAGAGGCUCUGACGGAUGUGGAUUAUCCCAGCUGGAGUACUUGGUACCAUUGGUGGUGAUCUCGUCCAACUGCCACACAACGAACAGGAACAUCCACAGCCAGAUCAGUGCCCAGAGCCUGACCCAGCCUCACCUUGGAAGGGACAGGGCAUCCAUCAUGUCUGGGUGUUGAAAGGCUGUUACCAGAUCACCUCGGAGCCUUCACUUCUGCAGGCUGAGCAGCUCCAGCUCUCUUUCUUCAUAGGAAAGGCGUUCCAUCCCUCGGUUCAUAUCUGUGGCCAUUCUCUGGAUGUGCUCCAACAGCUCCACGUCUGUCCUGCACUGCAGGCAUCCACAUCCACACACAGCACCUCCAGGUGAGGCCUCCCAGCACAGAGCAGAGGGGCAGGACCACCUCCCUUCGCCUGCUGACCGCACAUCUUUGGAUGGAGCCCAGCAUACGGUUGGCUUUCUGGGCUGGAAGGCGCGUUGCUGAGUGCCACUACUCAGCCUGUUGAGGUCCCUCUGGAUGGCAUCCCGUCCCUCUGGUGUGUCACCGCACCCCACAGCUCGGUGUCAUUAGGGUGCACUCCACCCUACUGUCAAUGUCACUGAUGAAGGGGCAAUCCCAGAUGUUUGUGCAAACUCAGCAAAGAACACCUUGAGAGCAGCCCCACAGAGAAGGAUCCUGGUGGGUGAGAAGCUGGACGUCAGCCAGCAGAGCGGGCUUGCAGCCUGGAAGGCCAGCUGUGUUCUGGGCUGCAUUAAAAGAGGAGCGGCCAGCAGGGAGAGGGAGGUGAUCGUCCCCAUCUGCUCUGCUCUUGUGAGGCCCCAUCUGCAGCGCUGCAUCCAGGCCUGGGGCCCCCAGCACAGGAAGGACGUGGAGCUCACGGAGCGGGUCCAGAGGAGGCACUGAGAUGAUCAGAUGGUUGGAGCAGCUCUCCUACAAGGAAAGGUUGAGGGAAGUGGGCUUGUUCAGCCUGGAGAAGAGAAGGCUUGGGGGGGACCUCAUUGCAGCCUCACAGUACUUGAAGGGGGGAACAGCAGGAAGGGGAAUGGCUGUUUACAAGGGUGGAUCGUGAUAGGACAAGGGGAAUGGUUUUAAGCUGAGACAGGGGAGGUUUAGGUUGGUUAUUAGGAGGAAGCUUUUCACACAGAGGGUGGUGACGCACUGGAACGUGCUUCAGAGUCCCUUCCAGGAGGAUCUGCUCCAUGACUUUUUGCAGCACAGAGGUGAGACUGACAUGUUGGCAGUUCCCAGGGUCACACUUUAUAUCUGCAGUAACAGCUGUGCUGUCACCUUUUUUCUGCUCACCAGGGACUUCACCUGACUGCCUCGACUUCUCAAAUACCACUGAGAGUGGCUCGGUGACUGCAGCACUGAAUUCCCUCAGAGCUCUGGGACUCGUCUCAUCAGGACCCAAAGACUCCUGGAUGCUCGGGUCCUCAGGUGGCAGCAGGCUGCGGCGCUCCUGAGUGCCAUAAGGACUGCAUGGAGAUGCGUGGCUCUUAUGGGAGCAGCAAGGAACCGGAAUCUGCAUUUCCUGGAAUGCCUGGAACCCUGCUUUGCUGGCUGGUAAUUGUCUGCCCAGCAGGUGGCAGCAGAGUUGCGUUGCUCCUGAGCGCUGUAAGGACAGCACGGAGAUGCGCGGCUCUUCAGGCAGCAGCAAGGAACCGGAAUCUGCAUUUCCUGGGAUGCCCGGAACCCCGCUUUGCUGGCCGGUAAUUGUCUGCCCAGCAGGUGAAGAUGCCUUCGACGCUUCCAGUCGAUGACUUCCCCCCUGCGACGCCAUUGGCUUUCCAGGCCUCCCACACUCACCGCCAGCUCGGUUCGGUCAACCGUUACCCGAAUCCCCGCUCCGUUCCCUUUCCAUGAUCUUCCCGUCACUCUGCCACAAGCCCCUACCAAGGUCAUCGCAGGCAGCGUGUGGGAUGCGGCGCUCGGUCUCAUUGCAGUUCAUCCCAUCGGCCUCAGCCCAGCGAUCCAACCCACCCGCACCCUUCCUGAGGGCCCUUCUGCUCCCAGGCCAAUCAACGCUUCCUUCUCAUGCCAUCUGCGUUCCUUCCAGGCCAUUUUCAGACUCCUGCCCCUUUGUGGCCAUUUUGAGAGUUGUGCUGAUUUCAGCAUGUGCAUUCAAUUGACUUCAACCAAAUUGGCUUUAGCUUUACAUUCAAUUGACUUCAACCAAAUUGGCUUUAGCCUUGCAUUCAAUUGACUUCAACCAAAUUGGCUUUAGUUUUACAUUCAAUUGGCUUCAACCAAAUUGGCUUUGGCUUUACAUUCAAUUAAUAUAAGCCAAAUUGGCUUUAGCUUUGCCUUGGUUACGGGGUUGGGCUAGCCUUGCUUUGUUUGCUCCUAGGCAGGGCUAACCCAACCCCGUAACCAAGGGCCGUCGGAGGCGAUUUUGUUCCUUCCCGGCCAGUCUGAGACUCGCGCCCCAUUGCGGCCAUUUUGAGAGUUGUGCUGAUUUCAGCAUCUGCGUUCAAUUUAUCUCAACCAAAUUGGCUUUAGCCUUGCAAUCAUUUUGCAUCAACCAAAUUGGCUUUAGCUUUACAUGCAAUUGACUUCAAUCAAAUUGGCUUUGGCUUUGCAUUCAAUUGGCUUC